UUCUUGGUGUUUUUAAACACCACCAACAUUGAUAAUCGUACUUUAU
rfam:TPA: Bos taurus chromosome 17, whole genome shotgun sequence.